AGCAGUAGCCACGGGAAUACAGAGGGUGCGAGCGUUAAUCGGAUUUACUGGGCGUAAAGCGUGCGUAGGCGGCUUUUUAAGUCGGAUGUGAAAUCCCUGAGCUUAACUUAGGAAUUGCAUUCGAUACUGGGAAGCUAGAGUAUGGGAGAGGAUGGUAGAAUUCCAGGUGUAGCGGUGAAAUGCGUAGAGAUCUGGAGGAAUACCGAUGGCGAAGGCAGCCAUCUGGCCUAAUACUGACGCUGAGGUACGAAAGCAUGGGGAGCAAACAGGAUUAGAUACCCGCGUAGUUUCUGUCUCUUAUAC
rnacentral:rRNA from 1 species